rnacentral:rRNA from 1 species
AUUGAACGCUGGCGGCAUGCCUUACACAUGCAAGUCGAACGGUAACGGGCCUUCGGGUGCCGACGAGUGGCGAACGGGUGAGUAAUACAUCGGAACGUGCCCGAUCGUGGGGGAUAACGAGGCGAAAGCUUUGCUAAUACCGCAUACGAUCUACGGAUGAAAGCAGGGGACCGCAAGGCCUUGCGCGGACGGAGCGGCCGAUGGCAGAUUAGGUAGUUGGUGGGAUAAAAGCUUACCAAGCCGACGAUCUGUAGCUGGUCUGAGAGGAUGAUCAGCUACACUGGGACUGAGACACGGCCCAGACUCCUACGGGAGGCAGCAGUGGGGAAUUUUGGACAAUGGGCGCAAGCCUGAUCCAGCCAUGCCGCGUGCAGGAUGAAGGCCUUCGGGUUGUAAACUGCUUUUGUACGGAACGAAAAGCCUUCUUUUAAUACAGGAGGGUCAUGACGGUACCGUAAGAAUAGGCACCGGCUAACUACGUG